rnacentral:rRNA from 1 species
GAUGAACGCUAGCGGCAGGCCUAACACAUGCAAGUCGAGGGGUAGAAGGAGCUUGCUCCUUUGAGACCGGCGCACGGGUGCGUAACGCGUAUGCAAUCUACCUUGUACAGGGGAAUAGCCCAGAGAAAUUUGGAUUAAUGCCCCAUAGUAUAUAACCUUCGCAUGUUGGUUAUAUUAAAGUUCCAACGGUACAAGAUGAGCAUGCGUCCCAUUAGUUAGUUGGUAAGGUAACGGCUUACCAAGACGAUGAUGGGUAGGGGUCCUGAGAGGGAGAUCCCCCACACUGGUACUGGGACACGGACCAGACGACUACGGGAGGCAGCAGUGAGGAAUAUUGGUCAAUGGUCGCAAGACUGAACCAGCCAUGCCGCGUGCAGGAAGACGGUCCUAUGGAUUGUAAACUGCUUUUAUACAGGAAGAAACCCUCCCACGUGUGGGAGCUUGACGGUACUGGAGGAAUAAGGAUCGGCUAACUCCGUG